UUCUUUAAACCUAAAGAAUUUGGCGGUGUUUUAUUCUAUUCAGAGGAACUUGUCCCGUUAUCGAUAGUCCUCGUUUUAUCUUGCUUGGAUUUGUUACAUUUAUAUAAAUGAUGUUCAGUAUGUAUACCGCCGUUAUAAGCUUAUUUUUUGAGAAUUUAAUUUGCUAGUCUUUUUAUUGAAACUUAUUUCAGGUCAAGGUGCAGCUUAUAUUCAAGUGGAGAUGAGUUACAAUAUUUUUGAAUAAAUGGAUUUUUGUUUUAAAGGUUUUAUGAAGGUGGAUUUGAUGGUAAUUUUAUUUAUAGUAUUAUUUUGAACUUGGCACUAAAACAAGUACACAUCGCCCA
rnacentral:rRNA from 1 species